AAAUUGAAGAGUUUGAUCAUGGCUCAGAUUGAACGCUGGCGGCAGGCCUAACACAUGCAAGUCGAACGGUAACAGGAAGCAGCUUGCUGCUUCGCUGACGAGUGGCGGACGGGUGAGUAAUGUCUGGGAAACUGCCUGAUGGAGGGGGAUAACUACUGGAAACGGUGGCUAAUACCGCAUAACGUCGCAAGACCAAAGAGGGGGACCUUCGGGCCUCUUGCCAUCAGAUGUGCCCAGAUGGGAUUAGCUUGUUGGUGAGGUAACGGCUCACCAAGGCAACGAUCCCUAGCUGGUCUGAGAGGAUGACCAGCCACACUGGAACUGAGACACGGUCCAGACUCCUACGGGAGGCAGCAGUGGGGAAUAUUGCACAAUGGGCGCAAGCCUGAUGCAGCCAUGCCGCGUGUAUGAAGAAGGCCUUCGGGUUGUAAAGUACUUUCAGCGGGGAGGAAGGUGUUGUGGUUAAUAACCGCAGCAAUUGACGUUACCC
rnacentral:rRNA from 3 species